GCAAGAUCUAAAUAGAAAAGAAAAGAAAAGAAAAGAAAGACGUUUUGUCUUUAGAUACGAGCUGUGCGGAAACUGCGACCCACGUACUACCAGAGCCCCCGAGAGAGACAGGCGGGCCUGGACGCAGGUGACCCAGCGGCACAGAGGGCAGGAGACGGUGUAGAUGGCUCCCUGCAGGGUGGACAUCUUCUCCAGGCAAGGGGCGCAGAAGGUGUGGUGGCAGUGGAGCACUCUGGGGACCCUCCUGGUGCGGGAGUACUCGUUGCAGCAAAUGAUGCAUUCCAGUUCGUCGCAGGACAUGGUGAUUUCAAGAGAUAGGAAGACAAAAGGCCUCCUGCUAAGAAAAUAGAGA